rnacentral:rRNA from 1 species
UACGGAGGGUGCGAGCGUUAUCCGGAAUUACUGGGUUUAAAGGGUGCGUAGGCGGCUUUGUAAGUCAGGAGUGAAAGUUUGCGGCUCAACCGUAAAAUUGCUUUUGAUACUGCGAGGCUAGAAUUAGGAUGAGGUUAGCGGAAUGUGGCAUGUAGCGGUGAAAUGCAUAGAUAUGCCAUAGAACACCAAUUGCGAAGGCAGCUGGCUAGACCUGGAUUGACGCUGAGGCACGAAAGCGUGGGGAGCGAACAGG